UUUUUUUUCCUACCACUAUUUAUACUUCCAUCUCUCCAAACGUCAAACCUUCAAUCCGUUCCUCUGCUCUCUCUUUCUCUCUCUGAUCAAACAAAUUUCAAUUCGUAAGUGCAAUACAAACAGAGAUAAACCCUAACUUAUCUGUAUAUAUAUACGGAGUAUAAAUUAUAUCAGGGGUUUUGAAGGGAGAUCAUCGAUCGGAGAUGAUGGUGGAGUUCUUCCUGCUAGGGUGCACCGGAAUUGUGGUGUUCCUUCACGGAGCCAACUUCUUCUUCCACGCUCUCACUCACCAGGUCGCCAUCCGCUCCCUCAGUUUCCUGGGAAUGAUUGGAUGGUAGAUAAACAAGUGGAGGAGAUGAUGCUGAAAUCGCAACUCACUGAGUUGGUGAAAGUAGGAGCGGAUCGGAGCCUUUGCACCUAACGCCACGCUUCUUGUGAUUAACCAUCGCAUAUUCGCAUUGCUUUAUUAAGGAGAUUAUAUCUUAAUUGUGAAUUGAUUUGAAAAUUUAGUGUAUAAUAAUGUAUAGCAUAAUAUGUCAAAUGUAAUGAUUACAAGGCAGGCUCAAGUGUUGCUAUGUUUUAAAGUAAAGCAAUAAUUUAUUACCUUUCUUUUAUUUUU